rnacentral:rRNA from 1 species
GACGGGGGGGGCAAGUGUUCUUCGGAACGACUGGGCGUAAAGGGCACGUAGGCGGUGAAUCGGGUUGAAAGUGAAAGUCGCCAAAAACUGGCGGAAUGCUCUCGAAACCAAUUCACUUGGGUGAGACAGAGGAGAGUGGAAUUUCGUGUGUAGGGGUGAAAUCCGCAAAUCUACGAAGGAAGGCCAAAAGCGAAGGCAGCUCUCUGGGUCCCUACCGACGCUGGGGUGCGAAGGCAUGGGGAGCGAACAGG